AUACAGAGGGUGCGAGCGUUAAUCGGAAUUACUGGGCGUAAAGCGCGCGUAGGCGGCUUAUUAAGUCAGAUGUGAAAUCCCCGGGCUCAACCUGGGAACUGCAUCUGAUACUGGUAAGCUAGAGUUUUGGAGAGGGAAGUAGAAUUUCAGGUGUAGCGGUGAAAUGCAUAGAGAGCUGAAGGAAUACCAGUGGCGAAGGCGACUUCCUGGCCAAAAACUGACGCUGAGGUGCGAAAGCGUGGGUAGCAAACGGGAUUAGAAACCCUAGUAGUCC
rnacentral:rRNA from 1 species